AUUGAACGCUGGCGGCAGGCUUAACACAUGCAAGUCGAGCGGAGAUGAGGUGCUUGCACCUUAUCUUAGCGGCGGACGGGUGAGUAAUGCUUAGGAAUCUGCCUAUUAGUGGGGGACAACAUUCCGAAAGGAAUGCUAAUACCGCAUACGUCCUACGGGAGAAAGCAGGGGAUCUUCGGACCUUGCGCUAAUAGAUGAGCCUAAGUCGGAUUAGCUAGUUGGUGGGGUAAAGGCCUACCAAGGCGACGAUCUGUAGCGGGUCUGAGAGGAUGAACCGCCACACUGGGACUGAGACACGGCCCAGACUCCUACGGGAGGCAGCAGGGGGGAAUAUUGGACAAUGGGGGGAACCCUGAUCCAGCAAUGCCGCGUGUGUGAAGAAGGCCUUAUGGUUGUAAAGCACUUUAAGCGAGGAGGAGGCUACUGAGACUAAUACUCUUGGAUAGUGGACGUUACUCGCAGAAUAAGCACCGGCUAACUCUGUGCCAGCAGCCGCCGUAA
rnacentral:rRNA from 1 species